rnacentral:rRNA from 1 species
GACUAAGCAUGCAUGUGMCAGUACAAGCCCAAUAARGUGAARSCGCGAACGGCUCAUUAAAACAGCUGUAAUACACAGGAUGUGUAUACACCCAGUUACUUGGAUAACUGUGGUAAUUCUAGAGCUAAUACAUGCCAACAGAGAUUCCUGGGCCCCUCGUCCACGACGGGAGCAAUCCCGUCGAUGGUCGAGGUGUGGCAAGGACGCUUUUAUUAGACUCACAUUUUAGAAGCUGGUUGUCGGGCUGCGGUCCUUCAACGGCUGAAAAUGUGUGGUGACUCUGGAUAACUUUGCUGAGCGCAUUUAAUCGGCCAAGAACGAUCAGGUUCUGGUACGAGGUGCUAUAUCCUUCAAGCGCCUGACUUAUCAGCUCUAGAUGGUAUACCAAAUGCUUACCAUGGCUGUAACGGGUGACGGGGAAUCAGGGUUCGAUUCCGGAGAGGGAGCCUGAGAAACGGCUACCACAUCCAAGGAAGGCAGCAGGCACGCAAAUUACCCACUCCCGGCACGGGGAGGUAGUGACGAAAAAUAACAAUGUGAGACUCAUCCGAGGCCUCGCAAUUGGAAUGAGUACACUUUAAAUCCUAUACAGAGGACCAAUUGGAGGGCAAGUCUGGUGCCAGCAGCCGCGGUAAUUCCAGCUCCAAUGGCAUAUAUUAAUGUUGUUGCGGUUAAAAAGCUCGUAGUUGGAUCUGAAAUACAGGGCCGAGGGACGUCUAGUCCCUGCUGACUGGCGCUUCUCUCGGCGUCCUGUAGUGCUCUCUCUCUCCGAAAGGGGAAGAGGAGCCAUGCCGGCACGCACGGGAUUCCCUUAACCGGGUGUCCCGGGUGGCUGGCGAGUUUACUUUGAAAAAAUUAGAGUGCUCAAAGCAGGCAGAUAUGAACGCCUGAAUGGUGAUGCAUGGAAUAAUGGAAUAGGACCUUGGUUCUAUUCUGUUGGUUAACACUGAACCCAAGGUAAUGACUAACAGGGACAGUCGGGGGCAUUUGUACUGUGGGGCGAGGGGUGAAAUCCUGUGACCCUCACAAGACAAACUACAGCGAAAGCAUUUGCCAAGGAUGUUUUCAUUAAUCAAGAACGAAAGUUAGAGGUUCGAAGGCGAUCAGAUACCGCCCUAGUUCUAACCAUAAACGAUGCCAACCAGCAAUCUGUCGGCGUUAUACCCAUGACUCGACAGGCAACUUCCGGGAAACCAAAGUUUUUGGGUUCCGGGGGAAGUAUGGUUGCAAAACUGAAACUUAAAGGAAUUGACGGAAGGGCACCACCAGGAGUGGAGCCUGCGGCUUAAUUUGACUCAACACGGGAAACCUCACCAGGCCCAGACACUGGAAGGAUUGACAGAAUGAGAGCUCUUUCUCGAUUCAGUGGGUGGUGGUGCAUGGCCGUUCUUAGUUGGUGGAGUGAUUUGUCUGGUUAAUUCCGAUAACGAACGAGACUCCAACCUAUUAACUAGUCGGCGGAUUCCGUGGGCGAGUCUUGGUCGAGCAGCUUCGGCAGCAGCAGCAGCAAAAGCUGACAAAACUUCUACGUCUUCAUCUUAGUCGUCUGCUCUAUCCUCUACGGAGGGGGGUGGUCACUUUGUUUGCUGAUUGUAGUCGUUGUCGUCGGCGCUCGCUCGCUCGUUGUUCGCCGUCUGCCUGUCUCGUUCCCUGCAGUGCCCAAUACGGUUUCCAGCCGCAGAAUCUCUUCUUAGAGGGAUAAGCAGCAAGAUGGUAGCUGCACGAGAUUGAGCAAUAACAGGUCUGUGAUGCCCUUAGAUGUUCUGGGCCGCACGCGCGCUACAAUGAAGGGACCAACGAGUGUUAUCCGUCUCCGAGAGGAGACGGUAACCCGUUGAAAACCCUUCUUGAUAGGGAUUGGGACUUGCAAUUGUUACCCAUGAACGAGGAAUUCCCAGUAAGCACAAGUCAUCAUCUUGUGCUGAUUAAGUCCCUGCCCUUUGUACAC